AAAUAGAAUCUUGAUGAUGAUUAAAAGGAGGGACGAUAGGCAGGCCGUAAAGCAAACAUGUAAGAUGGUUGCCGGGACUUCUAGAAAGUGAAAAAAACCCCAUUGAUAAUCAUAUUCGAUUUUCAAAA
rnacentral:miRNA from 1 species